rnacentral:rRNA from 1 species
AGUGAACGCUGGCGGUAGGCCUAACACAUGCAAGUCGAACGGCAGCACAGUAAGAGCUUGCUCUUACGGGUGGCGAGUGGCGGACGGGUGAGGAAUACAUCGGAAUCUACUUUUUCGUGGGUGAUAACGUAGGGACACUUACGCUAAUACCUCAUACGACCUACGGGUGAAAGCAGGGGUUCUUCGGACCUUUCGCGAUUGAAUGAGCCGAGGUCGGAUUAGCUAGUUGGCGUGGUAAAGGCCCACCAAGGCGACGAUCCGUAGCUGGUCUGAGAGGAUGAUCAGCCACACUGGAACUGAGACACGGUCCAGACUCCUACGGGAGGCAGCAGUGGGGAAUAUUGGACAAUGGGCGCAAGCCUGAUCCAGCCAUACCGCGUGGGUGAAGAAGGCCUUCGGGUUGUAAAGCCCUUUUGUUGGGAAAGAAAAGAAGCAGGUUAAUACCCCGCUGUUCUGACGGUACCCAAAGAAUAAGCACCGGCUAACUUCGUG